AAUCUCCGAGCCUAUAUUCCUAAGGUUUUUGCUAUGGGAUACAGGCCAGAAACAAUCAUUAAAAAACAGUUUUAUUAUCUGAUGAUCAUACGGUUUCUCAGGGUGUUGCCGGAAACAGCAGCGCCUCCCUACCCUUGGAAAGGAGAGAG
rnacentral:ncRNA from 1 species